CAGUCGCGUCUGCUGGGACUCAGCCUUGCUUCUGCUUGGUGCACUUCUCAGUAGAUGGGCCAGCAUCGAUUUUGGGUGCCGGAAAAGGGCGAGAGGAAUGUGGCAGCUUGCUGUGUUAUAGCCUCUUGUCGUAUACAUCGGCUGGGAUCGAGGAACUCAGCAUGCCUUUAUGGCCCGGGGUUCGCCCACGUACAUGCUUAGGAUGUUGACAUAAUGGACUUUAAACGACCCGUCUUGGAACGCGGACCAAGGAGUCUAGCAUAUAUG
rnacentral:rRNA from 1 species